rnacentral:lncRNA from 1 species
GACAAUCAGGCUUGAUGUGACCUUCUUUUCCACAUUCAUAGCACUGGACAACUUUUGUACUGAAGCUCUUCUUUUUGCUUUGACCUGCAUGGUUAGACAGUUGACUAUCAUUUUGCAUAAGUCGACUAAACUUUAUUACCAUCAAGGUCAUCAAUUCUUUUUCGUUCAUCUCUGUUUCUGUGUUGUUCUUGCUUGAAGCUUUUAGAGCAAUGGACUUCUUUUCUUCAAUCUCCUCUUCUCCUUUCAUCUACCAAGUUCCAACUCAUGUUCCCGUAACUUGCCAAACAAGGUAGCCAUGUUCAUAGUUGUAAGAUCUUUGGAUUCAGAGAUUGCUGUGACUUUUGGUUGCCAAUUCCUGUUCAAACUUUUCAAAAUCUAGAUGUUGAUCUCCUCCUUUAGAAACACCUUGCCAAGAGUCAUUAGAUGAUUUAUAAUGUGAGUGAAUCAUUUCUGCACAUCACAGAUGUUUUCUCCAGCCUUCAUUCUGAACAAUUCAUACUCCUGUAUCAAUGAGUUCUUUUUGGCUCUCUUGACUUCAUCCAUGCCUUCAUGAGUUAUCUCUAAGACAUUCCACAUUUCCUUUGCAGAUUUGCAUUGAGAUAUCCUGAAAAAUUCAUCAAUUGUCAAUGUAGAGGCAAUUAUAUUUCUAGCUUUAACAUCACUCUGAGCUUUUCUAUUUUCAUCAGCAGUCCACUCA